AGGGGGGGGGGAGGGGGGAGGAAUCGCUGGGAACCCAGCGAGGACAAGCCAGGGAUACAAAUAAUAAUAAUUAAAAAAAAGAAGAAAAACCUUUCUUGGAGGAAAGGGGCAAUGGGAGUGAGGGGCAGAGCUUUGUCACCCGUGGAUGCUGGAGGGAGAGGGACAGCGAAAAAGCCCCAGCCAGACCCAGGUCCUUCUCCCUUAGAGCUUCCGCUGGCUGCCCCCGCGCCACACGGGAGACUGGGCAAUAGACCUACGGGCUGACCUAGGGAACGGCAAUUUUUAUGCUCUUUAAAUUCAAAAUGUUAAUCCUGACAUUCAAAACCCCUUUCUAGGGGGAGGCACAUCGUACAGAUGGGAGCCUCUGGCAUAGUUUGCAGCUGCCAGUACAUAAGCAAGUCAAGGCUUGAAGUCUAGCACCGAUAAGGUGAUGUGAACUUUACUACUAAAAAGUUCACUAGGUAAAAGGAGUUGGGUAGAAAACGUACAUGAUUUAACUGCAAAUGCUGAUGGGACGUUUUUAUAGGGGCCACUGUCUUUUUUGAGGUAGUUUUUCCAAAACCAGAGUCUGAGGAACUGAUCCAAACAGAGGUGGUGAAAGAGAUUAUUUGUAAUCUCUAAAAAUAAUUUUGAGGAAAUGAAGGGAUCAGAGUUAGUUUUGUCCAGUUUUGCUAGCUGCUAAUGAGCAGUGUUAAUGGUUAGCUAAUCAUGUCACCAAUUCCUGGGGUUUAGGAAUACGCUUCACAAAAUGAUCCAGGAACUUUUGGCAUUGCGGUUUUCUGUAAGGUCUCCCUGAGUUUGGGCAAAUAAAUUUUGUUUCUGAACCAAUAUUUCAAAUGCAAAAUGUUGUCUAAAAACCAAGCAGGGCUGUUUCUGAUUCCUACAUCCGCAGGAAGGUUGUGAAAGCCUGCUUUCAUCUGUUCAGUUAAAAUGUUUUUAAAUGCAGCCUGCAUUUGAAUGCAGCCUUAGUUCCCGUGGAAUCCACUUGUUUUCAGGUGGGAGAAGAACAUGUCCCACGUGGUCCCCAAUGUAUUUAACAAUUCUGCUCUCAAGGUGAGAGCUUGAGUUGAAUUUAUUUUGCCCCUUCAAAGCUCUGUUGGCUCUGGAGUGGUAACAGCAGGAAAAUAAAAUCAAUCAAUACAAAAAAAAAUGUAUUUUUGCUGCUAAUAAUAGUAGUGAGUAUAUGCAGGGAGCCGGUCUGCUACUCCAAGAGAUACUAUUUUAAUACAGAUGCUUUUUAAAUUAGGACUACAUUUUAAGGCCUUCUGAUUCAUCUUAGAAAAGCUUGUAAUGCCUUCUAUCUAGAGACAAAGCUGCCUUUAUUACAGAUCUUCUAUGCAUCUCUUCUCCCAUUUUAUUUAUGUCAUGUAUGUAGACAGGCUUCCUCUGCUCCUGAUGUUUUUUCCCCACUUGAACCACUACUAGCUGCUGUGAAGAUGAUUAUGAUGUCACUAAAAGGAGACAGUACUAGAGUACAGGUAGAAAUAAGGACAGAGGAAAUGUUCAGAAAGAAAUAACUUGUUUACAUUUAAAUGCCACUAUACAAUAGAUACAAAGUAAAAGGCACUUUAUCCACAGAAUGUUUCAAAUAGUGUUUUGUACCCAAGUUUUCCACGAGAAAUUAAUGUCUUUUAAAACAAAUUAAUGUCUUUUAAAACACUUAAGGGACUGACCAAUUUAUGACAUUCAAAUGACAUUCAAAAUUACAGUUGCAAACCCAUUUCUAAAUCAUAUUUUAGUACCUCAUUACUGUGACUCAUUACAUAUUAAAGUUUAUCCACUCUUUUGAGAUCUCCGUAAGUACUGCAGCUUCAGUGGGAGAAAUUAAUAUUUCACUGUUCCUUUCUAUAAUCUGAUGUUUUACCUUGUCUUUAUGAGUCUUUCAGUCAGUCAUGGGGAAGAGAAAAGGUUUUGGUUUUUUUAAAUAUAGGAAAAUGUGAUUAAAUUAUUGCAAAUUGCCUGUAGGAUUUAGGGGCACAUGCACUGCAGUAAAUUAAGUUGCUUUAAACUCCCUUGCUAAAGGGUUGUCAUUGCAAGUCAGUGUUCCUUCAGCUUCUUUGGCAGUUAUAUUUUUGGGGCAAACACUGUCUGCCGUGGAUGUUGUGCUAUGUAAGAAAAUUGGAAAGAGUGGAGGAGGAGGAAAAAUGGAAAAGAAAGAUGGAAGAAAAGCAGCAGUGUAGUGAACUCACUCUUAUGACUUGCUAUUUAUUUGAGCAGGCAAGACAAGGAUUUUAAUCUGCCCCAUUUCUGAACAAUCACAGAUGUGAAGAGAAAGGGAGGAACAGGGAUUUUAACCUAGUUCACUUUUUAGCUCAAGGUAUUUUUUUUAUUUGACCUCAGUUUAAUGGAAAUAAUUCUAGAGCAAAAUGUAGUGCACAUGUUUAGUUUCAGUUCUUUGAGCAUACGGACUCUACUUAAUAUUCUGAAUUUUUUCUUAGUUGGCUUUUGGGACAGUUUGUCCAACCAGAAAUUUAUAAACCUGGAUUUUAGGAAUCUCUGGUCACCUUUACCAGGCACUUCCUAAAGUGCAUAAAUCUAGUUGACCUGUCUGAUUCUCUGUCCUCUAGUUGAAAUUAUUUACAUAGUUUAUAGCAAUAUUAGAUUAAUACUGAGAAUACUUGCAUGUUCAACUCUCUACUGAAAAACAGGAUUAGAAUGCACUGGUAUUUCCGACUUGCUUUCAGUGAAUAUAUUCACAAAGACGAGGGUGGAGGAACUGGAUGAUUUAUUUUUGUAUUUUCUCCUUUAAGCAAAGAAAAAAAAAAAGAGAGAAUGCUUUCUCAUAACAGAGGAGGGAGGUAACAGCACUUGGCAAAAACAUAACAUGUUUUGCUGGAAAUUAUUUUACUUUGUUCCUGAAAAGUAUGCUAUUUAUGGCAGGUUAGCACAGUGUUUUACUUGUGUAAUAUGGAAUUAGUGGAGGAGGGGGUGAAGAGACCUCAGUCCAGAUUAUUGGUGACAGUAAAUUUGUUUUCUUGUGCUAAAUAGGCAUAAAAUGGGUUUAUCCAGCUACCUAGUGGAAUACAUAGACAGUGUAGUUGGUCCUUUCUUAACCUUCUCUGCCCCUACUACUUUAAGCCUCAGCUCAAGACAUAGCCAGGUCAUUUCUGUACCCUGAUAUAGUCUCAAAGUGCUGGAACACCCCAUGGCCACAACUUUUCCAACUAUUUAGUUGGUCUAAUAAAAAAAUAUCACAUUUUACCCAAAGAACCUUGUCUGCCCAUGGUCAGAAAACAUUUUUCCUGGUUAAAGAGGCUCAGUAUUACAUCUCAGCUAUCCCCAGUUACUAAUCAUUUGCUGUGUUUUUGCAGUUCCUUAACUAAACUCAUUAAAAUCACACAUUAUGAGUACCACUCAUCAUUCCACAUCCUCCUUGCUGCAGCAAAACAACCAGCCCAUCUUCUGAGCAAAUGACUUCACUGGAAAAAACAUUCAUAGAAACAGCACUUUGUAAGCAAACAUUGGAAAAUAUACACUGAAUUUUAAGGAUCAGAUCACAAUGCAUAAGAAGGUACCUGGUUUCUGGACGUUAAAGAGGGCACACAUUUCUCUGUAGAAAAAUAUUCCCUUGAUGUUCAGUUAUUUUUGAGAAAUAUGUAUGUAUACACUCUUAUUUCUCUCUCCACAGAUUCUACAGAUAGCACAGCUGGAGUCAGAUGAUAUUUCGGCACUGCUGUUCUUGAAGUUGCCAGAGAAAAAAACCCAAGACUUUACACUUGAAGGAGCUCAAAAGCUUUUUGUCUCAGUUGGUAGCCCUAUUUUUUUAAAUAAAAGGAGGAGUAAAUGUCUGUGAAACAAGCUUUUCUAGCAUAUAAUGUGCAUGCAGCCUUCCUAUGCCCUGAUGAACUGUAGGUAAUUACCAUUUGGUUGGUGGCAAAGAGUCAGCUCUGAAGCUAAUGUGGAGAAUUAAAGCAGAAUGUACAGAAGGCAGCACCAAAGAAAGACUGAAUGUACAAAGUAGAGAGAUAGCAUGGUGGGCUAUCUGACUCAUUGGUCUCUGGUCAGAAUAAAAGUAUUAGAUAGCUAAA